rnacentral:rRNA from 1 species
GUCUACGGCCAUGCCACCCUGAAUGUGCCUGAUCUCGUCUGAUCUUGGAAGCUAAGCAGGGUUGGGCUUCGUUAGUGCUUGUAUGGGGGACCAUCUUGGAAAACCAGGUGCUGUAGGCA